AGUGAACGCUGGCGGUAGGCCUAACACAUGCAAGUCGAACGGCAGCACAGUAAGAGCUCGCUCCUAAGGGUGGCGAGUGGCGGAUGGGUGAGGAAUACAUCGGCAUCUACUUUUUCGUGGGGGAUAACGUGGGAAAACAUACGCUACUAGCGCAUACGACCAACGGGAUAAAUCAGGGGUUCUUCGGACCUUUGCCGUUUGAAUUAGACGAAUCCGGGCCGCAUUAGCUAGUUGGUAAGGUAACGGCCUACCAAGGCAACGAUGCGUAGCCGAUCUGAGAGGGUGAUCAGCCACACUGGAACUGAGACACGGUCCAGACUCCUACGGGAGGCAGCAGUAGGGAAUAUUGGACAAUGGGCGAAAGCCUGACCCAGCCAUACCGCGUGAGUGAUGAAGGUCUUCGGAUUGUAAAGCCCUGUUGUUAGGGAAGAAAAAAAGCAUAAUAAUCUACGGCCGUUUUGACGGUACCUAAAGAGAAAGCCACGGCUAACUUCGUG
rnacentral:rRNA from 1 species